UUAUCCUUGCGGGGAUUGUCGCGUCGUGCUGAUCUUUGAGAGAUUGCACUCUAGAAUGUGUUGAUCUGUGAGCGAUUGCACUCUAGAAAAUCGUGCUGGUCUGUGAGAGACUGCACGCUAGUAAAUUGUGCUGGUCUGUGAGCGACUGCACUCUUGUAUGUCGUGCUGGUCUGUGAGAGACUGCACGCUAGUAAAUUGUGCUGAUCCGUGAGAGAUUGCACCU
rnacentral:lncRNA from 1 species